rnacentral:rRNA from 1 species
GGUGGUGCAUGGUUGUCGUCAGCUCGUGUCGUGAGAUGUUGGUUAAAGUCCCGCAACGAGCGCAACCUUUAUGCUUAGUUGCCAGCAGGUCAAGCUGGGCACUCUAAGCAGACUGCCGGUGACAAACCGGAGGAAGGUGGGGAUGACGUCAAAUCAUCAUGCCCCUUAUGACCUGGGCUACACACGUACUACAAUGGCCGGUACAACGGGAAGCGAAGCCGCGAGGUGGAGCCAAUCCUAGAAAAGCCGGUCUCAGUUCGGAUUGUAGGCUGCAACUCGCCUACAUGAAGUCGGAAUUGCUAGUAAUCGCGGAUCAGCAUGCCGCGGUGAAUACGUUCCCGGGUCUUGUACACACCGCCCGUCACACCACGAGAGUUUACAACACCCGAAGUCGGUGAGGUAACCGCAAGGAGCCAGCCGCCGAAGGUGGGGUAGAUGAUUGGGGUGAAGUCGUAACAAGGUAACCGUAA